rnacentral:rRNA from 1 species
GGAAGGAUCAUUAAUUGAAGAAUACUAUUAUCAUAGUUUUUCAACAUAUAAACCUCUUUGUUUACUUUAUACCAUAUUGCUUCCACUGGACAGGUUGGAUUUGUAUUUGACUAUACAUAUCGGCCCUUUAGCUUUUUUCUUUCAGGUUAUUAGCUGAGGAGUUGCCAGUGGAUGAAAACUGAAAACCGAAACCCUUGUAGAAAACAUCUAUUGUCUGAUUUUGACUUGAGAACAAAAAUAAAACUUUCAACAACGGAUCUCUAGGCUCUUGCAUCGAUGAAGAACGCAGUAAAAUGCGAUAAGUAAUGUGAAUUGCAGAAUCUCGUGAAUCAUUGAAUCUUUGAACGCACAUUGCGCCCUUCAGUAUUCUGUAGGGCAUGCCUGUCUGAGCGUCAUGGCUAACUAUCAGAUCUUUGAUUAUUCUUAGAUUUGGAUUUAUUCAGAGAUGUAAUCUAUAACCAAAAGAUUACCCUUUGGAAAAUUAAAGGCGGUUGUAGUGAAAUCUCGAUUAAGCGUGAUAGUAAAACAUUUCGUUUGGAGAGAUUGAGCUUUGGCUUGCCUAGAAUCCACUCAAUCCUUCUGGGUUGACCUCAGAUCAGGUAGGGAUACCCGCUGAACUUAAGCAUAUCAAUAAGCGGAGGAAAAGAAACCAACAGGGAUUGCCUUAGUAACGGCGAGUGAAGCGGCAAAAGCUCAGAUUUGGAAUCUGGUGUCAUAAUGGCAUCCGAGUUGUAAUCUGUAGAGGAGUAUUGGGGGUGUGGCUUUGGCUUAAGUUCUUUGGAACAGGGCGUCAGAGAGGGUGAGAACCCCCGUUUGUAGCCCUUGUCUUACGCUUAUGUUGAUCUCCCUUCGACGAGUCGAGUUGUUUGGGAAUGCAGCUC